UGGGGAAUAUUGGACAAUGGAGGAAACUCUGAUCCAGCAAUUCUGUGUGUGUGAAGAAGGUUUUAGGACUGUAAAACACUUGUAGUAGGGAAGAAAAAAAUGACGGUACCUACAGAAGAAGCAACGGCUAAAUACGUGCCAGCAGCCGCGGUAAUACGUAUGUUGCGAGCGUUAUCCGGAAUUAUUGGGCUUAAAGGGCAUCUAGGCGGUAAGACAAGUUGAAGGUGAAAACCUGUGGCUCAACCAUAGGCUUGCCUACAAAACUGUUGAACUAGUGUUCUGGAAAAGUCGGUGGAACCUCACGAGUAGAAGUGAAAUUCGUCGAUAUGGGGCAGAAUUCCGAUUGAUAAGAUUACUUCCUAGACAGAAACUGACGCUGAAGUGCGAAAGCUAGGGGAGCAAACAGG
rnacentral:rRNA from 1 species